GCGUGUGCGAUGAAGGCCUUCGGGUUGUAAAGCACUUUUGGCAGGAAAGAAACGUCCCGGGUUAAUACCCCGGGGAACUGACGGUACCUGCAGAAUAAGCACCGGCUAACUACGUGCCAGCAGCCGCGGUAAUACGUAGGGUGCAAGCGUUAAUCGGAAUUACUGGGCGUAAAGCGUGCGCAGGCGGUUCGGAAAGAAAGAUGUGAAAUCCCAGAGCUUAACUUUGGAACUGCAUUUUUAACUACCGAGCUAGAGUGUGUCAGACGGAGGUGGAAUUCCGCGUGUAGCAGUGAAAUGCGUAGAUAUGCGGAGGAACACCGAUGGCGAAGGCAGCCUCCUGGGAUAACACUGACGCUCAUGCACGAAAGCGUGGGGAGCAAACAGGAUUAGAUACCCUGGUAGUCCACGCCCUAAACGAUGUCAACUAGCUGUUGGGGCCUUCGGGCCUUGGUAGCGCAGCUAACGCGUGAAGUUGACCGCCUGGGGAGUACGUUCGCCAGGUUAAAACUCAAAGG
rnacentral:rRNA from 1 species